GGGUUGUGAGGUUAAGUGACUAAGCGUACACGGUGGAUGCCUAGGCAGUCAGAGGCGAUGAAGGGCGUGCUAAUCUGCGAAAAGCGUCGGUAAGGUGAUAUGAACCGUUACAACCGGCGAUACCCGAAUGGGGAAACCCAGUGUGUUUCGACACACUAUCAUGUCAUGAAUACAUAGUGGCAUGAGGCGAACCGGGGGAACUGAAACAUCUAAGUACCCCGAGGAAAAGAAAUCAACCGAGAUUCCCCCAGUAGCGGCGAGCGAACGGGGAGGAGCCCAGAACCUGAAUCGGCUUGUGUGUUAGUGGAAGCGUCUGGAAAGUCGCGCAGCAAAGGGUGAUAGCCCCGUACACUAAAAUGCACAGGUCGUGAGUUCGAUGAGUAGGGCGGGACACGUGACAUCCUGUCUGAAUAUGGGGGGACCAUCCUCCAAGGCUAAAUACUCCUGACUGACCGAUAGUGAACCAGUACCGUGAGGGAAAGGCGAAAAGAACCCCGGCGAGGGGAGUGAAAUAGAACCUGAAACCGUGUACGUACAAGCAGUGGGAGCACCUUCGUGGUGUGACUGCGUACCUUUUGUAUAAUGGGUCAGCGACUUAUAUUUUGUAGCAAGGUUAACCGUAUAGGGGAGCCGUAGGGAAACCGAGUCUUAACUGGGCGAAUAGUUGCAAGGUAUAGACCCGAAACCCGGUGAUCUAGCCAUGGGCAGGUUGAAGGUUGGGUAACACUAACUGGAGGACCGAACCGACUAAUGUUGAAAAAUUAGCGGAUGACUUGUGGCUGGGGGUGAAAGGCCAAUCAAACCGGGAGAUAGCUGGUUCUCCCCGAAAGCUAUUUAGGUAGCGCCUCGUGAACUCAUCUUCGGGGGUAGAGCACUGUUUCGGCUAGGGGGCCAUCCCGGCUUACCAAACCGAUGCAAACUCCGAAUACCGAAGAAUGUUAUCACGGGAGACACACGGCGGGUGCUAACGUCCGUCGUGAAGAGGGAAACAACCCAGACCGCCAGCUAAGGUCCCAAAGUCAUGGUUAAGUGGGAAACGAUGUGGGAAGGCAUAGACAGCCAGGAUGUUGGCUUAGAAGCAGCCAUCAUUUAAAGAAAGCGUAAUAGCUCACUGGUCGAGUCGGCCUGCGCGGAAGAUGUAACGGGGCUAAACCAUGCACCGAAGCUGCGGCAGCGACGCUUAGGCGUUGUUGGGUAGGGGAGCGUUCUGUAAGCCGUUGAAGGUGGCCUGUGAGGGUUGCUGGAGGUAUCAGAAGUGCGAAUGCUGACAUAAGUAACGAUAAAGCGGGUGAAAAGCCCGCUCGCCGGAAGACCAAGGGUUCCUGUCCAACGUUAAUCGGGGCAGGGUGAGUCGACCCCUAAGGCGAGGCUGAAAAGCGUAGUCGAUGGGAAACAGGUUAAUAUUCCUGUACUUGGUGUUACUGCGAAGGGGGGACGGAGAAGGCUAGGCUAGCCGGGCGACGGUUGUCCCGGUUUAAGCGUGUAGGGGGUGUGACCUGGUAAAUCCGGUUACAUAUCAACCCUGAGGCGUGAUGACGAUGCACUACGGUGCAGAAGUAGUUGAUGCCCUGCUUCCAGGAAAAGCCUCUAAGCUCUAGGUAACAUUGAAUCGUACCCCAAACCGACACAGGUGGUCAGGUAGAGAAUACCAAGGCGCUUGAGAGAACUCGGGUGAAGGAACUAGGCAAAAUGGUGCCGUAACUUCGGGAGAAGGCACGCUGGCAUGUAGGUGAAGUCCCUUGCGGAUGGAGCUGAAGCCAGUCGAAGAUACCAGCUGGCUGCAACUGUUUAAUAAAAACACAGCACUGUGCAAACACGAAAGUGGACGUAUACGGUGUGACGCCUGCCCGGUGCUGGAAGGUUAAUUGAUGGGGUCAGCCGCAAGGCGAAGCUCUUGAUCGAAGCCCCAGUAAACGGCGGCCGUAACUAUAACGGUCCUAAGGUAGCGAAAUUCCUUGUCGGGUAAGUUCCGACCUGCACGAAUGGCGUAAUGAUGGCCAGGCUGUCUCCACCCGAGACUCAGUGAAAUUGAACUCGCUGUGAAGAUGCAGUGUACCCGCGGCAAGACGGAAAGACCCCGUGAACCUUUACUAUAGCUUGACACUGAACAUUGAGCCUUGAUGUGUAGGAUAGGUGGGAGGCUUUGAAGCGUGGACGCCAGUCUGCGUGGAGCCAUCCUUGAAAUACCACCCUUUAAUGUUUGAUGUUCUAACUCGGCCCCGUGAUCCGGGGUGAGGACAGUGUCUGGUGGGUAGUUUGACUGGGGCGGUCUCCUCCCAAAGAGUAACGGAGGAGCACGAAGGUUAGCUAAUCACGGUCGGACAUCGUGAGGUUAGUGCAAAGGCAUAAGCUAGCUUGACUGCGAGAGUGACGGCUCGAGCAGGUACGAAAGUAGGUCUUAGUGAUCCGGUGGUUCUGAAUGGAAGGGCCAUCGCUCAACGGAUAAAAGGUACUCCGGGGAUAACAGGCUGAUACCGCCCAAGAGUUCAUAUCGACGGCGGUGUUUGGCACCUCGAUGUCGGCUCAUCACAUCCUGGGGCUGAAGUAGGUCCCAAGGGUAUGGCUGUUCGCCAUUUAAAGUGGUACGCGAGCUGGGUUUAGAACGUCGUGAGACAGUUCGGUCCCUAUCUGCCGUGGGCGUUGGAAGAUUGAGAGGGGUUGCUCCUAGUACGAGAGGACCGGAGUGAACGCACCACUGGUGUUCGGGUUGUCAUGCCAAUGGCAUUGCCCGGUAGCUAAGUGCGGAAAAGAUAAGCGCUGAAAGCAUCUAAGCGCGAAACUUGCCUCAAGAUGAGUCUUCCCUGGGCCUUUAAGGCCCCUGAAGGAACGUUUAAGACUAAGACGUUGAUAGGCUGGGUGUGUAAGUGCAGCGAUGCAUUGAGCUAACCAGUACUAAUGAUCCGUGAGGCUUAACCUUACAACACCGAAGGUGUUU
rnacentral:rRNA from 1 species